GCGGGUUUAACUCAGUGGUAGAGUGUCACCUUGCCAAGGUGAAAGUCGCGCGUUCAAAUCGCGUAACCCGCU
rnacentral:tRNA from 1 species